ensembl:lncRNA
UCAUCCUUCACCAUUAAAAAAAAAGAGUAGAUAAUAACAUAACAUGUGUGGUCCAAAAUUUUGAAUAGUAAACCAAAAUCUAUGAGAACUAUAGAAAACAGGAAAAAUCUUUAAGCCUGAGAUACAUGAUCUUAUGCCAAUGUUGCCAGUACUAUUUCAGAUGGGGAAAGUAUAGCGAUCAAUGUUAUUUAAUUUUUUUUUAUUACAACAGGAGUUCUCAAAACUUGGGAUGUUGGAAGGAUGUUGAGGUUAAAAUUGUUUUCGUUCUGCUUAAAUAAGAAAAUCUUUCUUGUGUCUAAUACAAUGUUAGACUUUCCAGUGCUUGGAGGGCCCACUUUAAUGUAGUGGAACCAGUAGAAUAUAUACUCCACCAAAAGAAUAGUAAGUAAUUCCAUCCAUCCAUCUUUAAAACACUUAUCGUGCAGACAGGGUUGUGGGGGGCUGCAGUCAAUCCCAGCCAAUUUUGGGCGAGAGACAGGGCACACCUUGGAUUGGUUGGCAGCCAAUUGCAGGACUAACACAGAGACAAACUAACAUUCAAACUCACAUCCACACACCUACGGGCAAUUUAGAGCCACCAAUUAACCUGAUCCCCAGAGCAUGUCUUUAGACUGUGGGAGGAAGCCAGAGGACCCGGAGAGAACCCACGCAGACAGGGGGAGAAUAUGCAGACCGCACACAGAAAGGCCACAGGGAGAAGUCGAACCCAGGACCUUCUUGCUGUGAGGCCACAGUGCUAACCAUGACACCACCGUGCUGCCCGUAUGGCAUUCCAAUAUAUUUGAAUGUUAAAGUAUUUGCUUCGAAUUCAGCAUUCUGCAAAUGUGCUUCUUCCCCUUUCUUACAGAUUGCAAAUCAUUGACACGCAUGUGGCUUCAGCAGACCUCUAUUGGACAUAAUAAAUGUUUCCACUCUUUACAUUGAUGUUCCUAACAAGGAUAUCUCAAAUUCUCUGAAUUCAACUGAGGACACCGCCAGCUUGGCCAAAAGUGUGGCGUAUAAUGGACUAAACUAUAGAUGUGUGAUGAUUUUGAUCAAUGGCUUACUGGAUACAUGGCCAGUUUGAUAAAAUCAUAUAAAUGGUGAUACUGCAAGACAAGUUCAUCUUCAUUGUGUAGAAGCUCAGCCUGUAAAAUUAGAAAUGAAUGAUUUGAAUAAUAAAUAUUCUUUUUCAUUGUGUAACCAGUGAGGAAAUGUCCCUCCUGAGCUACUGUAGGCUCAGGCAGGCCUCGGUACCUCCUACUUUGUGGUUUGACAGGGUAUAAAAGCUGCACAUUAUGUAGCAGCUGUCAGUAUGCUUGUCCCUUUCUGUGUUGGAGUCUGGUUGGACAAUCUAGUGAGCUGGUAGGUGUUUUUAUUCUCAGUUCUUAGGUAGACCCAGGUAGAGGAGGCUUGGAGUCCAAAGGCUGGGAUUGGAAGCCGCCACUGUUUUUUUAUUUUGUCUUUCUUUAUUUUGGUAGUAUUAAUUACCUUUAGUAUCCAGAAGGUUACUUUUUGUUCGAUUUGAUUCUUUGGUUCUUUUUUGGGUGCUUGAGGCUCAACAGUGUGGCUUCACAGAUGGUGGUGGCUGGGCCUCUCACCUGCUCCUCAUAUUCUCUGUUGUUGUUUUUUUCUUACGUAUAUCUUCAGUUAUUGUGUGUGUGUGUGUGUGUGUGGCGCAUUACAGCCGGUGAGGGGCAUGCCCCCCCCCCGUUACCCGCUGCGGCCUAGUCACCAUCUGUCACCAGUAGCACUCAAUUUGUUUGUAGAGGCGCAUUUGGUUAUUCCUACAGCUGAUGGAAAUUUAAUUGUUUUGUAUGAACACUAUAUUUUAAGUAAAUGUUGAAAUCAGGGGAAUUUUAUUGCCUCACUCUGACUUCAGUGAUCUGUAGAUCCGUUGUUAAAUUAUUUAUGAGGCACUACUUAACCCUGUGCUACCAGUGGUUCCCAAUGUCUUUCUUUCAGUUGCUCAACUUCUCGUGAUUUGAUCUACACACUAUGCAUCAGCUAAUGCAUUCUAAUACAACCGCCCGACAACUCUCUCCCUCAUUCUCUUCUAUCAGCGAAGUAGACAGCCCAAAUAAAAAUUGACCAAUGGUACCCCCUAGAGGGGAUUUACUCUCAUGAUGAACAUUACUAAUUGCUUGUGAUCUCUUCUCAGACUGCUAUGGCUGGUUCCACACCUGCAGAAUCCAGAUUAACAUUGAAAAACUAACACUUCCAAAUGCUUGCCAGAGUCUCUAGAUAUCUUCACUGCAAGAUGAAGACAACCUUUAGGUUAAAGGGCAACCUCUGACUUCAAUACAUGGAUUAAGAUUUUGCCAAUUACUUAUUUAAUCUAAAUUCUACCACUGAAUUUCAGGGACAAGUAGGAGGCCAAACAGUUGGUUCAAUAUGCGAUGGGCAAGAAACCUGGUGGAGACCGUAGUGCCAUGAAUACAAAAAAGUCUUGUAGGACACAACUGCAAUUGCUGAUUAUGGGCGGUCGACCUAAACUGACAGACCUGUCCAGGUCAAAGGAGGCUCAUGGAUCUUGGGGAGAAGAUGGGCGAGGCCUGAGCUCUUAAUCAAGGACUGUCCAGAGAAAACAGGCUCCUGCCUUGAUCGCCAGAAGUGGUCAAGCAGUUUCAGCCUCUUGUGAGAGUGGAAAUUACCAGCAGUCUUGAGUGAUUUGAGUGAACGGUAAGACUUUAUUUUUAUUUCCCCCCCCAGUGGUUUUUGAUAUGUGAUUGUAGCAGGUUGACUGGUCGCAGGUGGUUUCAAUCACUUCACUCUCUGGACCAAUCAGGAAGUAACUGCAUGCUAUAUAGGCGGGGGUUUGACAUCUUGACCCCGUUACUUUGUUGCUGGAGGUACAUUUCCGCUCUGGGUCCUCUCGCGUUCGUGCCGCAGUCACGGUUGUGCAAUGGGUAAUGUAGUGUGCUUAAGUGUUUGUUACCUAAAGGCCUUGGUUGUGUUGGGAUGGCCAUUACAGCGUGUAUUGUCUUUUGCAGUGUCUCUCUGUUACAAACCCGAUCUUUCCUUUAAUGGAAUCGGGUUGAGUGUUGCUGCUGGUAGGUUGGACAAAUCUUUCUCCUCUGUGAAUAUUUUAAUGAAUGAGUGGUUAAGUAAUCUGCCGUUUUAUUGUAGGCUCUGUGUAGCUGUACGAUCGGCACUGCAGGUGUAUUGGUGCGAAGCUCCCUGACGGGUAUGUAUGUAUAUCAGUGGCAUCGCGUGUAUGUUCUUAAAUCAUAAACUGUCAUUGAAUUUGGUUUGUUUGUGCACGCCAGGGUUGUAAAAUUGCUUCACGUGCGCUGGUAUCUGCACCAGCCCCUCCCUUCCCUGCCACGGUGCUGUUUUGUCGCCGCUGACUUUGGGUUUAAACUACGUUCAACGGGUUGCAGCUACACAACUGUAAAUUCCUCCAGGCGUUGAGCGCCUCACAGCGCCCGGAUCUGUUGCUUAAAGUGACAGGGCUGUCUGAUUGCAACCCGGUUGAUAGUUUGCCUUUUUUUGGUUUGCCCGUGCUUGCUACUAUGUGUAUGGAGAUUGGGGUUUAUUUGUUAAAUUAUGAUUUUAAGUGAUGUUGGUUUAUAUUUCUAAGUUUCGAUAAGAAGACUAAUUUUGGUUGGAAUUCUAUUAUCUGUUAAUUUUGGUUAUUUUAGUUGGUAGGCUCUAGUGGUGCCGAAGGUGGUGGUGUGUCUCUCUCCAGUGUGCUGUGUUUUCCCCGUUUGGUUUAAUUUGAGUCGUUUGCUGCAGUGUGAUUGGGGUGAUCCUUCUCUGAGACCCCAUUGACCCUGUCCCUCCACCGGUAAGACCUCAGCACUUACUUUCCCUAUUUAGUAGGUCUGGUAUUUUAAAUGGUAUUUUAUAUUUGUUUUAGUAAUUGUAUUAAAUAAAAUCAUUGUUGUAACGGAACUACGUCUCUGGCUUCAUGCAUGAAUCAAAUCUGUGUGCUUUAGUAAAAUACUAUUCUCGGGGUGAAAUUCCCCGGGUGGCGUUGCCAGUGUCAUCAGUGUUGAGCGGGCCAAAAAGGCACUCCACACCAAAAGAGUUCCACUCGCCACAUAAUGCUUGUCAUGCAGGCUGUGUGACAGGUCUAAUAACAUGUUCUGUUUUUCCUAACUGUCAAGAGCCUGACUGGUGCAUAAUGUAUUAAAUGAAUCUGCUUCUAAUAUGUUGUAUGUCCUGAAAUAUGCCGCCCUCUUUAGCUGCUUCAUUUAAUAUUUGCAAUUUCCCUGUAUGUGCAAAAAGCUGCCAUCAUUGUUCGGGAAAAAUUCCGGUUGCGUUAGGUAAAGUAGUUUUAGAAGUGGCCCAGCAACUUCAGUAUGCUGUGAAAAUUGCCAGCUGACUUAUGGAUUUGAGUGAGAGGUAAGACCUUUUCUCCAGUACUGAUUUUGUUAUGUCAUGCAGGCUGUGUGACGGGUCUAAUACUGUUUAGAAGGCCUGACUGUUUUGCUUAUGCAUCUGCUUAUAAAUAUGUACUGAACUACGUGUGUGUGUGUGUGUGUGUGUGUGUGUAACUAUUUCUGGUUGGCUAAAGUACUGUUGUACUACUACGCAGAAAAAUUCAGAACACAAUUGGCUCCUGCCUCAAGUCUUCCAAAAAGUGGUCAAGCAGCUUUACCCCUCCUGUGAAAUUCUCCUGCCAACUUAGCGAUUCGAGUAACAGGGAAAGUGGAAGCCAACUGGUUCAAGACUUUCCUGACAUAAUGGACAGCUGACAGGAUUUGGCGGAAGGCAAGACCAGGGGUUGCGCUAAGUGUUAGGGGUUGCGCUAAGUGUUAGGGGUUGCGCUAAGUGUUAGGGGUUGCGCUAAGUGUUAGGGGUUGCGCUAAGUG